rnacentral:tRNA from 1 species
GGUUCCAUGGUGUAGUGGUGAGCACUCCAGACUUUGAAUCUGGCGACCUGGGUUCGAAUCCCGGUGGGACCU